UNCUUGUGACUACACACCUGUAAACAGGC
rnacentral:piRNA from 1 species